rnacentral:rRNA from 1 species
GUUUGAUCAUGGCUCAGGACGAACGCUGGCGGCGUGCUUAACACAUGCAAGUCGAGCGGUAAGGCCCUUCGGGGUACACGAGCGGCGAACGGGUGAGUAACACGUGAGCAAUCUGCCCUCCACAUCGGGAUACCCCCCGGAAACGGGAGCUAAUACCGGAUACGACCACUUCAGGCAUCUGAUGGUGGUGGAAAGUUCCGGCGGUGGAGGAUGGGCCCGCGUAGGAUUAGCUAGUUGGUGAGGUAACGGCUCACCAAGGCGACGAUCCUUAGCUGGUUUGAGAGAACGACCAGCCACACUGGGACUGAGACACGGCCCAGACUCCUACGGGAGGCAGCAGUGGGGAAUAUUGGACAAUGGGCGCAAGCCUGAUCCAGCCAUGCCGCGUGAGUGAUGAAGGCCUUAGGGUUGUAAAGCUCUUUUGGCGGGGACGAUAAUGACGGUACCCGCAGAAUAAGUCCCGGCUAACUUCGUGCCAGCAGCCGCGGUAA